AACAGGAACAGGAAAUUAGGCCUUUAAAAACAAGAUCAUUAUUUACCAGAUUUGUCACCUGCAGCCAAUCCUCCUCUACAUUACUUUAGGUAAUUUAUUUUUUCAAUUAUAUUGCUCUGCUGAUUUUUGAUAUAGCCAAUCAAUAGUUUGACAUUAUACCUUCUAUGUUCUUUUCAGUUAUACGCUAUAGACUAAAUUCUACACAUUCUAACCUACAUAUCUGGAAUCCUAGCCUCUCUGCUCAGUCCUUUCCUGAAACUAUUCCCAUAUCACUCCUUUUGCUUAUGCUGCAACUAUAUCAAGGCACAAUAGGAUCCAUUAGUUUAUCUGCUGAAGAUUCCAGCUACAGAACUCUCAAAUUACAAAGGUUGUCUGGGUAUUACAAUAUUACAGGAUGGGGGUGAUGCAAGCAUUGCUUUGGUAACAUUUGGUAAAUAGCACCCCACCCCACUGAAUCAAAUAAUGAAAUAGCUGAAAAAUGCAAGUGAAAAGCAUGUAAUAGUAUGAUAAAAUGUUUUCAAAUAACAGUUAAACAGUUUUCAAAUAACACAACAAAAACAAGCACAGAAAGCAGCAGAAGAUGAUUCCAAAUAAAAAUAGAUGAGCAGAUUUUAAAACUGGCCUGAUUCUUACAAUUGCAUCUAUUUGACUUCCUAGAACAUGGAGAAUACAAGGAGAGCUGAGGAGCUAUGUUUGUGGUUUUGUGGCACUAAAUAGAUGUGGAAAACUCGUAUGUUUUCAUGUUUCAUGUGCUCUAAACUAAGAAUGAAGCAGGAGAUAAAAAGAAAGAAGACAGUUCACUCUUUGCCCCCCCCACCCCCUUUCACUUUCAAAAAUCUACAUCCCACUGUGUCUGAUGAUGUCAGUAAUGCUUCUGAUGACCACACCAUACAUUAUUAUCACCAUAUACCCAAGCUGGUUUGAAGGGCAUUUUACACAGAGGACACAGGAAUAUCUGAGUACUCAGGUAUAAGGAGAAAGUAUUUUGUUUCUGCUGUAUGGAUCAUCAUCGUUCUCCACGUUACCUGAUACCGACUAAGGCUUAUUCAAAGAGGGGCUUGAAUAUCUCCACAACUGCCACCUUUAUCCCUGAAGCCUUCACUCAUAUAGCCUCCACUGUGGUACUUUUCUUCAAAGAAGACAAGCAUCCACUUGUGUGGCUAACAGCAUUGCAGUUCUGAGUCUGACCAGUAGGGAGAGCUCAUGUAGUGAGCAAUCAUUACCUCCUCUUUUUAGACUGUAUUUAAUGAGUUCCACAAUCUCUUCCAACCUGCUCUUUGGGAUCAGAAUUUCUCUUUUUAACCCAAGUCUGAUAUGACCCAACACAAAAUUUGAUAGCAAGAUGAAUGGCUGCAUGAAACAAUGCUCUCCACUGCUGGCACUUUAGUCAACCAGCUUAAUACUGCUUAUAGUAAAACCACCGUCCGAUAGUUCUUCUGAAAAAGCACAGGCUUGCUGUGAUCCAACAGAAAAUAAGUGUUGAUAUAAAACUGCUGCAUAGGACUCUAACGUCUCAGCUGUCAUUAGCAUAAAUGGAAUUGUAUGUCACCAGUACCACAAACUGAACUGAGAAAGUGCUGUGGAUUGAACCACAGAGAGAUAUACGUGACUCUAUAACAUAUAAAAUUUGACACAUCUACAGUAUGGUCAGCAGGGAACAAGAGAAUGUAACCAGGUACUGUCUGCUGAGUUGGCAUUGCUGUAGUGUCAUAAUAGCAGCACGCUUACUGAAAUAAACCAAACACUAUGAAAGCCGACGUGGGGAGGAAACACCUUUUAUAUGGUAAAGACAGCUGGAAAUAGGGGCGGGGAGCACUCUGCACAAGGGGAUGGGCUGCAUGGCUGGUCAGUGUUAAGCAGUGUGAGCUAAUGGGUUUGGCAGUGGCAGUCACAAGUGCUAGGAUUUGGUUCUGAAGACUGUGAGUGUUAGAGGCACAAAGCCAGCAGAAAGCCUGGUGUGAGCAGGACCAUGAGGGGAAAUGGAUGGACAAGGCUUCUGGGAGCCAGAGUUCACUGAACAGGCACAUUGGAGGAAUUCUGAUCCAGGGAAUUUCUUUCUGUUGUUUGUUUCCACUGUGUUUAGGGAAACAGGACUUUGUGUAGAUUCUUUGUAAGCAAAUAAGAUUACACCAAUAAAAUACCUGACUCGUAUUAACUUCUCAUAAUUGAAACAAUCCUGCAAGGCCUGGAAUACUGGCUAACUGCUCAGACCAAAGAGGCAACAUAAACGUUUGAAAAACUGGAUCUAACCAGCCAGCUAUAGUCCACCUGAAUGAACCACAUGACAAGGAGAAGGAAAAGCAGGAAGCUGCUAAUGGUGUCAUGCUGACUCUCCUUAACAAACCAGCCAGCAGUGAAGAGUUGGGUGAAGCUCUGGGGCAUCUGUGAGUAACUAAGGAACACACUGGUAUCUUGCCAGGUAGAAGUACAGAGCUCGUCGAACAUGGAGGGAAUGUAGUCAACAUUCCGCUGCAGAUGCAUGUGGUUUCAGAAAGAAAACAGUUUGUCAGAGACAAAGACACUGAAAGUUCCAAUCAGGACUGAGCGAUGGUGAGAAGGAACUGGAGAUGCGGUCAGUCCACCCUGUCCUUUAUCGCCUUGGACGGAAGCACAAGAAACAUUUAGAUUCACCCCACUGGUGCAAGGCUAUAUACACAUCUGGGGGCAACACCAUCCCCACAGGAAGGUAAACUGUGUUUGCUAUGAAGCUCUUCCCUGAGGAUUCUGCAAAAGAGGCUGUAAUAGAGGGUAUUGUUCAAGGUGCCAGGGGGACAUGAGUGCUGAAACAGUGCAACCUCCAGUUAUCCUGGUCAUAUCUUCUUCUAACCAGCGUCAUCCAGUUGGAAGGCUGUGCUGCAGGCCCCUGGAAGAGCAGAAUUGGCAAGUGUUUUGCACCACCACAAGUUCCCUAUGGAUGAACUUUCUUCCAGUAGAGGCAUUGCACCCUGGAAUAUACUGACUUGAGAUUAGUACAGCACAGGGCUGAAUCAAGCCCAUUUACUGAACACAGCAAGUAGGAAAAAAAUCUUUACAUCGAGUAGUUUAUACCUUUUGACAGUAAAAAUAUAAAUAUAAAUUUCUUCAAAUCUGCAGUCUGUUGAGUUGCAGGAUGGGAUUUUGUUGUGCUCUUUGGCCUUGUGUUUUCCCCUUUAGUGGCAUUUCUACCUGAUUGCAGGACAUAUAUUUUCCUCUCUCUUUCUCUCUUCGUAAUACUAGGGUUCGCUCUCUUUUCUCUCUUUUUGUAUCUAUCUUUCUAUAUCAGAGUUAUAUUUCUCUCUCUCUCACCCUCUCUCUAAUCUUAGAGUAUUUUCUCUUACUUUAUCUGCCCUCACAGCCCUACAUCUUUCUCUUUUUCAAUUUCCAGCUCUCCACCCUAACCCUCUCUGUCUCUAUAUAACACUGGCUUCCAUCACAGUCUGUGAAUUUCUCCCUCUUCUGCAAUCUUCUCAGCCUCUUUGCAGAUAGAGCCAUUAAUUCUCAAUGUCAGGUUCUCCUUCCCUUGAGCCAUCCCAGAAACCCCCUGCCACAGAGGUAGGGACUAUUUUCUGGCUGGCUGUUGCACAUUGUUUUUCUCCCCCACCCAAUUUCCUUUGUAUAAAUCUGUCUUCUGGAGUCUCAUCAAAGGCAUUCUGGUCUCGCAUGACCCCAAAGACCACAAAUAAUUUUUGUUGGCUUGGGCCCUUAAGAAAAAUUACAGAAGUGACGGUUACUUAGGAUGUCAGCUGACUAACUCGACCCUUGGAUCACCUUAUACUGGAGAUGAAUAAAUUGAUAC